GAUGAACGCUGGCGGCGUGCCUAAUACAUGCAAGUCGAGCGAACGGACGAGAAGCUUGCUUCUCUGAUGUUAGCGGCGGACGGGUGAGUAACACGUGGAUAACCUGCCUAUAAGACUGGGAUAACUUCGGGAAACCGGAGCUAAUACCGGAUGAUAUUUUGAACCGCAUGGUUCAAAAGUGAAAGACGGUCUUGCUGUCACUUAUAGAUGGAUCCGCGCUGCAUUAGCUAGUUGGUAAGGUAACGGCUUACCAAGGAAACGAUGCAUAGCCGACCUGAGAGGGUGAUCGGCCACACUGGAACUGAGACACGGUCCAGACUCCUACGGGAGGCAGCAGUAGGGAAUCUUCCGCAAUGGGCGAAAGCCUGACGGAGCAACGCCGCGUGAGUGAUGAAGGUCUUCGGAUCGUAAAACUCUGUUAUUAGGGAAGAACAUAUGUGUAAGUAACUGUGCACAUCUUGACGGUACCUAAUCAGAAAGCCACGGCUAACUACGUG
rnacentral:rRNA from 1 species